rnacentral:rRNA from 1 species
AGGAAUAUUGGUCAAUGGGCGAGAGCCUGAACCAGCCAAGUAGCGUGAAGGAUGACUGCCCUAUGGGUUGUAAACUUCUUUUAUAAAGGAAUAAAGUCGGGUAUGGAUACCCGUUUGCAUGUACUUUAUGAAUAAAGAUCGGCUAACUCCGUGCCAGCAGCCGCGGUAAUACGGAGGAUCCGAGCGUUAUCCGGAUUUAUUGGGUUUAAAGGGAGCGUAGAUGGAUGUUUAAGUCAGUUGUGAAAGUUUGCGGCUCAACCGUAAAAUUGCAGUUGAUACUGGAUAUCUUGAGUGCAGUUGAGGCAGGCGGAAUUCGUGGUGUAGCGGUGAAAUGCUUAGAUAUCACGAAGAACUCCGAUUGCGAAGGCAGCCUGCUAAGCUGCAACUGACAUUGAGGCUCGAAAGUGUGGGUAUCAAACAGGAUUAGAUACCCUGGUAGUCCACACGGUAAACGAUGAAUACUCGCUGUUUGCGAUAUACUGCAAGCGGCCAAGCGAAAGCGUUAAGUAUUCCACCUGGGGAGUACGCCGGCAACGGUGAAACUCAAAGGAAUUGACGGGGGCCCGCACAAGCGGAGGAACAUGUGGUUUAAUUCGAUGAUACGCGAGGAACCUUACCCGGGCUUAAAUUGCAGAUGAAUUACGGUGAAAGCCGUAAGCCGCAAGGCAUCUGUGAAGGUGCUGCAUGGUUGUCGUCAGCUCGUGCCGUGAGGUGUCGGCUUAAGUGCCAUAACGAGCGCAACCCUUGUUGUCAGUUACUAACAGGUUCCGCUGAGGACUCUAGAGAGACUGCCGUCGUAAGAUGUGAGGAAGGUGGGGAUGACGUCAAAUCAGCACGGCCCUUACGUCCGGGGCUACACACGUGUUACAAUGGGGGGUACAGAAGGCAGCUACCUGGUGACAGGAUGCUAAUCCCAAAAACCUCUCUCAGUUCGGAUCGAAGUCUGCAACCCGACUUCGUGAAGCUGGAUUCGCUAGUAAUCGCGCAUCAGCCAUGGCGCGGUGAAUACGUUCCCG